rnacentral:rRNA from 1 species
AUGACAAGCAGAAACAUGUGGAAGAUUUCCAACACACUAUGCAUCCAUUGGACAUUGCAAGACAAGUAUUUCUUUUUUGAUGAUAUGACACCUACCUGCAGAAUUUUUGUUGACCAUGAUGAUUGUGGGAACGAAAUAACAGAGCCAGAACUGUGGCGCGAUCUAGACACGGACUCGAAUGCAUAUGAAGCCCAGAUAGAGGAAGCUAAGAAAAAAUAUAAAUCGAAUACAAGUAAGGACAUAAUCAAAGGAUUCAGCUCACAGCAUGAGCAAACAGCACUGGGUGAUUCAUCCAUACAUUAUGCGCAGAAAGAGCCUGCGACAACAGAAAUGUGCAAGUACAGAAACUUUCUUCCUGGGUUCGAAGAAAUAGACGACAUUAUUGACUUGACAUGGGACAAUGCAAAAACGUGUUAUUACCCAAUGAGAACACAGAACUAUGAGAAUGAUGUAAGCUCAUCACAAAAGAACAAGAAGUUACUGAACACAUCCCUUUCAACAUUUUGUCCAAAUUUGCAAAGUUACUUGACAACACCAUUUAUUGGCAAGAGGCUUUUUACAGACGAGGUCAUCGAAGAAGAUGACCAAGAUGGGACCAAAGAUCAACCAAUCCCUGUCAUCGAUGAGUUGCAAUUAUCUCCGGACGUUCAAAUUCUGGGGGAGAGAGUAUUCAAUGGUUCAUGCUCUAACAUGGUAAACACAGCAGACAAUCUGUACAACAGCAACCUUACAUUAGGCAGUUACUCAAGUGGCAAGGAAAAUCUGCCUCCCAAAAGGCUUGUACGCCCAAGCAAGUAUCAAUGCUCACCUUUCGAUAACGAUCUGAGAGGCCCUCUCACGCCAUCUGAGAAGCAGCUACACAGCAACAUUGUGGCACUAGGCAAAAUUGAACCUGAUAGAAGGGCAGUGUUGGUCGAUAAAACCAGUCUAUCCCUUGGACAACUCGGCAAUUCAUUCGACACCAACGGACAUGUGGAAGCUUAUGUUUUCAAUGUUUUCUACCGGUUGCUCUUUCGUGAUAACCAUCCAAGGCAAUCAAAGAAGCACUACUUCUUCACUACUAUCGCUGAUUAUUUUCUUCAAGCAUGGACUACUGAAGAAGGAAGGAUAUCAAUGAGAAGGAGAGCACUUAUAAGUUUUAGUGGAGCAGGAACAACAUUGCCUCUACAUGAAAGUGAACGUCUGUUUUUUCCAUCAGUACAUCACGAGCACUGGAUAUUGUUUAUUGUUGAUAUUGUUGCAAGAAAAUUCAUUUUCCUAGAUUCAGUUUAUGAUGGCGAGUCACCCUUUCACAUGGAGGUAAAAGAUUUGAUGAUAAACAAUUUUCUCAAAACAUGGGAAGAGUCGAGACUCAGGAGAAUGGGGUUCAGAAACUUUGGUAUAGAAUACCCAAACAUGCCUAAGCAAAUUGGAAGAUGCUUGCGGGAUUUUUGUGCUCAAGUGGAUGCAAACUUUUGCUUCGCGGAAUCCUCUCCAGCCCCAAUUCAGGAUGAAGGACGUGGCAGAUGCAAGGGUCAGACUUGCUGUUGA